UGAGUGACCAAGAGAAAUCGAUAAGCAUUCCACCUGGGGAGUACGGUCGCAAGACUGAAACUCAAAGGAAUUGACGGGGGCCCGCACAAGCGGAGGAACAUGUGGUUUAAUUCGAUGAUACGCGAGGAACCUUACCCGGGCUUGAAAUGUACCUGGAUAAUUUGGAAACAGAUUAGCCAGCAAUGGCAGGUAUGUAGGUGCUGCAUGGUUGUCGUCAGCUCGUGCCGUGAGGUGUCGGCUUAAGUGCCACAACGAGCGCAACCCUUAUCACUGGUUGCCAGCGGGUAAUGCCGGGGACUUCAGUGAGACUGCCACCGUAAGGUGCGAGGAAGGUGGGGAUGACGUCAAAUCAGCACGGCCCUUACGUCCGGGGCGACACACGUGUUACAAUGGGGGGUACAGAGGGCAGCCACCUGGCAACAGGGCGCUAAUCUCAAAAGCCUCUCUCAGUUCGGAUCGGAGUCUGCAACUCGACUCCGUGAAGUUGGAUUCGCUAGUAAUCGCACAUCAGCCAUGGUGCGGUGAAUACGUUCCCGGGCCUUGUACACACCGCCCGUCAAGCCAUGGAAGUCGGGGGUACCUGAAGUACGUAACCGUAAGGAGCGUCCUAAGGUAAUACCGGUAACUGGGGCUAAGUCGUAACAAGGUAACCGUA
rnacentral:rRNA from 1 species